GAGCUAGUACUACUUGCUGGUCUUCUCGGCGACAUGCCCAGCACCUGCAGCCGCGGUAUCCUGGUCAGCACCAGGACGCACUCCUGCUGCCGUGCCAUCUUGCCCAGCACCUGCCGCCGCGCCGUCCUGGUUAGCCACAACACCGGCUUCACCAUCACCCACUGCAUCCUCAUCCGGGUCGACAAUCUUGGCUCCGACACCGAACCGACACCGCCGACUGACGUACGAGGGCGAGGGCGACCACGGUCGGAACCUGCCUGGACGCGCACGGACGGGGCCCCCAGAACCAGAUCCGCUGCGGUCGCGUGCUGCGCUGCCGGCCGUCGCGACGGCCUUGACUAGCUUGCCAUCGCCGGAUUUCGCUCCUCCGCCCUCUGCUCCGCCUGCCAUGGCUCCAGUGCGAUGGACGCCACCUCGCCGGCUGUUUAUAUGGACGGGAUGCCAUCGAUUUGGGGUGAGAGGGGGAGGCCCUGGAUUGGAGGUUGGACCGACGGUGAUUUGGGAUUGGAUCGGAGGAGAGGAUCGUUGGGGGAGAGGAAGAGGAUUGGGGAGUUUGCGUGCGGUGAUUAAGUUGCGCUGGAGUGAUGCUCGAGGCGUGGACCAGGGGGGCGAAUGCAAAAGUACCCAGCGCAACGGAGACGUACACUUAUUCUGGGAAAAACGGUGGCCUCUAAACGUCCACUCUUUGGCGGACGGAGGGAGUAUAUGGAUUUGGUGGCGAGCGCUACCGAUGCGGCCAAGUACUCCAAGGUCAGACAAAUCGUGAAGUGGAUAAGCUAUUCUGGACGCAAUUCCAUGUUCCAAAGCGUCCGCUUUCAUUGACUAACCAGCUAGCCGAAUGGGCCGAACUGAAUAGGUUGUCCGGACUCGCCAUGAGGUCUGUUGUGGAUCAGCUAUGGCCGGAAAGACCAAAGCCGAACAACUAUUUCAGCUUAGUGCAGCCUUGAUGCGGUGCUGCGCAUUAAUGCGAUGAAGAGGUCGGCGUGCAUAGAAGGCUCGCGGAUGGCCCUUGCCCGUGUUAUAGCAUACUGGGCAGAGAUGGACGCUACCACUAUUGCGGCGCAGGGAUCGGCCAUAGGCCGGGUGGCUGCCGAGCACUAUUUCGAGGAGGUUCUCGAGGGUGCUCGUUUGAUAGAGGCCCAGUGCUCGAAAAGUAUUAUGUUUGAGUGAUAUGUAUUUUCAUUGUAAGCACAAUGCUUUUAUGAAUUUUUAUAAGGUUAUUUUUAUACUUUUGCCUGAAAGUAGUAUGAUGCCUCCUGUGCGGCCGUUUAUGUAUACCUGUGUAUAACCUGAAAGAUUGCAGCCAUCGGCUUCAACCCCCACGCAUAAAAUGUCGGGGUGUUCGCAAAAAAUGCGUGUUCACACUUAAACCCAACGUCUUAGUCCUAUUAAGGAGGUGAUAGCGUAGCGAGCGAGGCAACCGGACUAUAAUGCUUUAACACUUUCACUUAGCCAUAGGAGUUUGACAGUGGGGCUACUAGAUAGCCCCUGGUGGCUCCGCACUCUCCCGAUUGCGGGGUGCGUACAUGCCCGGCCGGGAAAUGGCCCUUCAUUAAGGCGGAGGAAUUCAAACAUUCCGAUAGGUCACCGAGUGGUUGACCAGUCUCACGCUAUAUCAUGACAGUCAGUUUUCGGCUUUCUCUACUGAGGUGCUCGUCCGGAUGAACCAGGGCACAAUCGCAGUAGUUCUCCUGGUGCUACCUUAGCUGGUAAAGCGAAACAUAAGGCACCAAAACACAGGAGCCGGGAAAACCCAACAUUUGACCAAAGACAAUGAUUUGGAGCUGAUGCAUAUAUGGCCAAACUCGCGACGCUGAACACUCCCUAAGGUAUUCGGUCUUUAUGGUAUAAACCGGGCCUAGAUAGUGCCCUUCGUAAGAAGCCCCUUGUGUCCAGGUACGUGCAUUAUUCUGACGUGGCCACAUGCCAAGACGCCAGCAUCCUUCUCGACUGUGCUAAGAAUUCGGUGGAUAUGUAUCAACAAGAGACAGUAAAAAAGGUUUACACAGGGUCUUAAUCUAAAAAGAAUCCUUGGAGCAGGUCCCUGCUGCACGUCUGCGCCUGUGUCUCCGUUGUGCCGUAUCCUGGAUGGGUGUAGCACGAUGAUUAUCUGUAAAAGAGAGGAGCUUAGGUGAAAAAGCUGUCGUCCAAAAAGAUAGUUUUUUAAAGAAAUCAUGUAUAAUUCAAGGCAAGUAAGAAUUGCCGCUUGUCUGCGCACGUUGAGCCCCUUGUAUUUGUAAUAGGGGUGUGAUUAUUGAUCCGGUAAAAAUUGCAUACGGCUGCGCCGGACUUGUCUAACCAUGACCGAGGUCGUGACGACCUGCUAAAUGCUUUAGUUGGUGAGGCCGUUUUUAGUGUGCGGCUGCCAGGGCAGCCGCACGCUCUUCGGCGCGAAGAGAUCGCUUAAUACUUCUGUUCACUGUAAUGAUGCCACGUGGACCGGGCAUCUUGAGUGUGAGGGAAGCAUAGUGUGGUAUUGCGUUAAAGCGAGCGAAAGCUUCGCGUUCGAGUAGUGCUUGAUAGCCACUUUGAAACGGAGCGAUGUGCAAGGUUAAAUGUUUGCUACGGAAGUUAUCGGGGAAGCCGAAUAUAACUUUUAGUAGUAGGGAGCCCGUGCAAUGAGCCCCUGGGCCUGGCGUUACUCCUUUAAAGGUAAUAUUGCUAUGGCAAAUUUUUGUUGGGUCUAUCCCCAUUUCGCGGAUUGUAUCUUGGUAUAUCAGGUUUAGACUGCUGCCACCGUCCAUCAGGACUCGUGUGAAGUGGUAUCCGUCAAUUAUUGGUCUAAUACCAGGGCAGCCCAUCCUGCACGCCGGACACUUGCUGAGUAAUCACGAUGGUCGAACGUGAUCGGUUGAGACGACCAGUGGCAGGACUCCGUGGUGAUAGGCCUUCGGGUGUAUUUUUCUGGGAGUGCCGUUUUGUUUCUGCCAUUGAUCAUGUGUAACACGUUUACUAUUUUGACUUCUGGUGGAAAUUUCUUUUGUUCCCCAGUGUCUUCCUUGAGAGGCUCAUCCUCAUCUUCGCUUGGUGUAUCCUCCCCCUUGUGUACGGCGUUGAGCUUGCCGGACUGCUUGAAGACCCUACAUUCUCUGUGGGUAUGAUUGGCUGGUUUGCCAGGGGUGCUAUGGACCUGACAUAUUUGGUUCAGAAUUUUGUUUAGGCUGGCCAGUUCAUCUCUGACGCCUUUAGGGGGCGGCUUUUGCUGACCUGGCCGAGAGCUUUUGAAUCCGGCAUUUACUGUCGGGCUCCUCGUGCUGUCUCUUUUAUUCCGGCGUUUGUUAUUGCUGUUGCGCCAUGAUUUCCCGUUUCCAUCUCUAACUUCAGAUGUACUGGGGUCGCUGGAGCUGCAUCGGGCUAGCCAGCGGUAUUCACCCACGCAAAAGCGGGUCAUGAGGCUUGUUAAUGCUGCCAUUGUUCUCGGUUUUUCUUGGCCGAUGUGUCGGGCAAGCCAUUCGUCAGGGACACUGUGCUUAAAAGCUGCCAAGGCUUCGGUGUCCGGGUAGUCGACAAUUUGGUGCUUUUUAGUAAGAAACAUGUUCCAAAGCUUUCGGGCUGACUCUCUGGGCUGUUGAGUUAUAUGACUCAAAUCAUCCGCAUCCGGAGGUCGGACAUAAGUCCCUUGAAAGUUUGCCCAAAAAGUGUCUUCGAGCUCUGCCCAGCUUCCAAUGGAGUUUUUGGGGAGGCCUUUAAGCCAAUGAUGAGCUGGCCCUUUCAGUUUGAGUGGUAAGUACUUGAUGGCGUGGAGAUCAUCUCCUUGAGCCAUAUGGAUGUGGAGGAUAUAGUCCUCGAUCCAGACCCCAGGGUCUGUUGUUCUGUCGUAUGCCUCUAUGUUUACAGGUUUGAAUCCCUCUGGAAAUUCAUGAUCCAGCACCUCGUCGGUGAAACGUAGGGGGUGUGCGGCACCCCUUUAUCUAGGUGUACCGUGUUGUUCGGAUGUCUGUUGUGUUAUAUCGUAUGCUGGGGCGCGCUUGCGUGGUCCAUAGAUGGAUCUGGUUACACUGUCCUUUUGGUGAAAGCCCUCGGGUGAAUCGCGUAUUGUCUUGUGGGUGGCAUUAUUUGCCGCUCUAUGUUGGCUGUGAGGUUGUCUAUCCGUCUAGGUGGAUGUUUUGAUUUUCGGUUGUGAGGGGUCUGAGGCCUCCUCAUCGAAUUCAGGUAGCAACUUCCGCUUUGGGUAGCUCUUGGUGGGGCGAUUGUCGCCGUACUUCGCUGCUGUGUUGAGUACUUUACUCCAUCUGAUUUGGAGUGUGUCCUGCGCAGCCUUGAGCCUUUGCUGCUGCUUUUUCAGACUCCUUGCGGUGGCAACAAGCCUUUGACGGGCAUUCUGCUGCUUUGGGUGCAUGUCCGGUGUUGUGUCGUCCGGACUAUUAUCUUUGACCGAAUUGGUUUGUUCGGUUUGAUUCUCCAUAUUGCCGUGGUCCGACAGUGAUUCGCCCUGCUCCGACGCUGGGUCUGUGUUAUCGUUAUUUCUGGCUAGGCGUGAUUUGGGGCGGCUCUUGCGCCGCCGUUUUCACUGCUUCUUCAGGGAAUAAGCCUUCGGUGUGUCCUUCCGUUCCUCGUCGUCUUCUUUUGGUGUAUCCACCAUGUAUACGUCGUAUGAUGAAGUGGACGUCCAGUGCCCUGUGGGCGGUGGUUCCUCUUCGCCUCCCGCACAGUUGUCCAUACCAUCGAUGUCUUCGGAGUCGAAGUCGAGCAUGUCGGUUGAAUCAUCGGCAGUGGCUAUUAAGUGGGUGGUGGGUGGGCGUCGAAUUUCUUCGUCGUCCACAUCCCAAUCCCGUUGGCCAUGAUACGGCCAGGGCUCUCCUGACAAAGAGAGAGACCUUAGUGAAUUCAGAAUGUCGCCGAAGGGCGAGUGCUGAAAGAUAUCCGCGGCGGUGAAUUCCAUGAUCGGCGCCCAAUCGGAUUCGAUUGGCAGGGGCGCAAAUGGUUCGGGGUCCUGAAGAGAGUCCGGCACCUUGGAGUCACGGGCUGCGCUGAGGAUUAUGCUGGUGUUUGGCUCGAUCGCCGUCGAGACUGCAGCUCCUGAGGCGGUGUCUAGCCACCCGUCCUUGAUUAGCGCAGCUAGCUCCGAGCUAAGGGUCAGAGCUGAUGCGGACGCGGCCUCUGGGGUACCGUCCGGUGGCAGAGCUAGGUCAUACCUAUCGCGACAGUGCGGCGCGCCCGGCUGUGGCUCGAAUCCGUUGAAGAUCAAGUCCCCACGGAUGUUGGCCGUGUAAUUCAAACUUCCAAAUCUGACCUGAUGGCCAGGGGUGUAGCUUUCAAUCUGCUCCAGAUGGCCAAGCAAAUUACCCCGCAGUGCAAAGCCACCGAAUACGAAGAUCUGUCCGGGGAGAAAAGUCUCACCUUGGACUGCAUCGCUAUCGAUGAUAGUAGGAACCAUCAAGCCUAACAGCGAUGACACAGAGGAACUCUCAAUGAAAGCACCAAUGUCGGUGUCAAAAUCGGCGGAUCUCGGGUAGGGGGUCCCGAACUGUGCGUCUAGAGCGGAUGGUAACCGGAGGCAAGGGACAUGAAGUUUUACCUAGGUUCAGGCCCUCUUGAUGGAAGUAAAACCCUACGCCCUGCUUGAUUGAUAUUGACGAUAUGGGUGUUACAAGAGUAGAUCUACCACGAGAUCAGAGAGGCUAAACCCUAGAAGCUCGCCUACGGUAUGAUUGUAUGUUGUGAUUGUUGUCCUACGGACUAAAAUCCUUCGGUUUAUAUAGACACCGGAGAGGGUUAGGGUUACACAAGGUCGGUUACGAAGGAGGAGAUAUCCAUAUACGUAUUGCCUAGCUUGCCCUCCACGCCAAGUAGAGUCCCAUCCAGACACAUGACGAAGUCUUCAAUCUUGUAUCUUCAUAGUCUAACAGUCUGGCCAAUGGAGAUAGUCCGGCUGUCCGGAGACCCCCUAAUCCAGGACUCCCUCACCUACCUAUAUACGGUAUCUACCUGCCGUUCCAAGUAAAUUUGUAUGUGCCAAACUCUAAACCUUCAAAUAAAUAUCCUGUUUUGUAUGCUCGAAUAGCUCAUGUAUCAACUAGGGUUGUCUGUAUCUUCCAUGUUAGGCGGGUUAUUCUCAAGAGGAGUGGACUCCGCUCCUCACUCACGAGAUAAAUGGCUGGUCACUGGGAUGCCCAGUCCCAUGCUUUAUGCAAACUAAAUCAAAAUAAUUGCAAACAAAACUCCCCCUGGGACUCUUGUUAGUUGGAGGCACUCGUUGUUUCGAGCAAGCCAUGGAUUGAUGCUUGUGGUGGAAGGGGGAGUAUAAACUUUACCAUUCUGUUUGGGAACCACCUGUAAUGUGUGUAGCAUGGAAGAUAUCGCCAUCUCUUGGUUGUUAUGUUGACAAUGAAAGUAUACCGCUGAAAAUAUUAUUCACCUCUAUUUCAAAACCGAGCUCUGGCACCUCUAUAAAUCCCUGCUUCCCUCUGCGAAGGGCCUAUCUAUUUACUUUUAUGCUGAGUCAUCACCCUCUUAUUAAAAGGCACCAGUUGGAGAGCACCGCUGUCAUUUGCAUUCAUUACUGUUAGUUUACAUUGGGUAUGACUUGACUGGAUCUCUUUUACCAUGAAUUACAAUGUCUAUUCAGUCCUUGGUCUUUAAAGGUGCUCUGCAUUUAUGUUUUGCAAUCUCAGUAAGGGCUAGCGAGAUACCAUCCUGUUAUAUCAUAUUAUGAUUGUUUUGAGAAAGUGUUGUCAUCUGAGUUUUAUUAUUAUGGCUCUAUAGUUGAUUAUGCUAUUAAUAUGAGUAACUUGAGACCUAUGCGUUAUUGCGAAUGUGGUUAGUUAUAAUAUUUGCUGAAAACUUGAAUGCUGGCUUUACAUAUUUACAACAACAAGAGCAAACAGAGUUUGUAAAAGUUUUUCUUUAUCACUUUUAGUUCGUCAACUGAAUUACUUGAGGACAAGCAAAGGUUUAAGCUUGGGGGAGUUGAUAUGUCUCCAACGUAUCUACUUUUCCAAACACUUUUGCCCUUGUUUUGGACUCUAACUUGCAUGAUUUGAAUGGAACUAACCCGGACUGACGCUGUUUUCAGCAGAAUUACCAUGGUGUUAUUUAUGUGCAGGAUCAAACAUUCUCGGAAUGACCUGAAACUUCAUGGAGACACUUUUUAGAAAAUAAGAAAAAUACCUGCCAAAGAUGAAGGCCAGGGGGCCCACCGUCUUGCCACGAGGGUGGGGGGCGCGCCCCCUACCUCGUGGGCCCCCUAUUGCAUCUCCGACUCCAACUCCACCUCCAUAUAUUGAGUUUCGAUGAGAAAAAAAUUAGAGAGAAGAAAUCAUCGUGUUUUACGAUACGGAGCAGCUGCCAAGCCCUAAAACCUCUCGGGAGGGCUGAUCUUGAGUCCGUUCAGGGCUUCGGAGAGGGGAAUCCGUCGCCAUCAUCAUCAUGAACCAUCCAACCAUCACCAAUUUCAUGAUGCUCACCGUCGUGCGUGAGUAAUUCCAUCAUAGGCUUGCUAGACGGUGAUGGGUUGGAUGGGAUCUAUCAUGUAAUCGAGUUAGUUUUGUUAGGGUUUGAUCUCUAGUGUCCACUAUGUUCUCAGAUUCAUGUUGCUAUGACUUUGCUAUGCUUAAUGCUUGUCACUAGGGCCCAAGUGCCAUGAUUUCAGAUCUGGACCUUUUAUGUUUUCAUCAAUAUAUCAGUGUUCUUGAUCCUAUCUUGCAAGUCUAUAGUCACCUAUUAUGUGUUAUGAUCCGUUAACCCUGAAGUGACAAUAAUCGGGAUACUUAUUGGUGAUGACCGUAGUUUGAGGAGUUCAUGUAUUCACUAUGUGUUAAUGCUUUGUUUCGGUUCUCUAUUAAAAGGAGGCUUUAAUAUCCCUUAGUUUCCGUAAGGACCCCAUUGCCACGGGAGGGUAGGACAAAAGAUGUCAUGCAAGUUCUUUUCCAUAAGCACGUAUGACUAUGUUUGGAAUACAUGCCUACAUUAUAUCAAUGAACUGGAGCUAGUUCUGUGUCACCCUAGGUUAUGACUGUUACAUGAUGAACCGCAUUCGGCAUAAUUCUCCAUCACCGAUCCAUUGCCUACGAGCUUUCCAUAUAUUGUUCUUUGCUUAUUUACUUUCCCGUUGCUAUUACUAUCAUCACUACAAAAUACCAAAAACAUUACUUUUACUACUGUUACCUUUUGCUACCGUUAUCUCUCCUAUCAUAUUACCUUGCUACUAAACACUUUGCUACAGAUAUUAAGUGUCCAGGUGUGGUUGAAUUGACAACUCAACUGCUAACACUUGAGAAUAUUCUUUGGCUCCCCUUGUGUCGAAUCAACAAAUUUGGGUUGAAUACUCUACCCUCGAAAACUAUUGCGAUCCCCUAUAAUUGUGGGUUAUCAAGGGGGGAGGAGUGUGCAAGUACGAGAAUGAUGAAAAGAGUGGUGGGAGUGAGGCAUGGACGGUGACAAGAGAAGAGGGGAAGCUUGUGUUUGUUCUAGGCACACCUGGCUAGAGAGGCAUAUCGAUCGAUGUGUGCCGUAAAGAAGGAGCUGGGGGGGCCUACACACACCAUGGGUGAAUGACCUAAAGUGAAAAGACGAAUUUGCGCGAUGGAGCUAGAUAAUGCUGAGGGAGGGUGAGAGGGAUGCGGGCGUGUGCAUGCACAAGAGAAAGUUCGCGCUAGCUACAAAGAUAAAGGGUUGUGUGGGUGUAAAAGACGAAUAGAGAUCAUAUAUACUUCAUUAUAAAAGGUGAAUUCGCAUAUUUGAAGAAUUUAUCAUAGUGUUUCAAAUCGACGCAUGUGUGAAUAUAUAUAACGGUGAUACACAUGGUGUGGUUAUGAACAUGUUAUACUACAUUUAAUAUAUUUUAUCUCUACUCUUAUAAAAAACGGAGUUGUUGAUGAUGGUGUGCCUACCAUCCUGCAUUAUAGGCCGUCUGAUUUAUAUCUGGCGGAUAGCAAGGAAACUAUGAUGGUUGAACUUGGCAACAAUCAUGAUUGUAGGUUCUUAUUGAAAUAGAGAAAGAAAUUCAAAUUUAGUUCGAAUUGCAUCGUUAGUGUAGACAUUUGGAACGCACUAAAAUGUUGGUAUGAGUAGGUUACAUGCAUUAUACAGCAAGCGAAAAAAAUUAAUUGGACAUAACAUGGAUUCAUACUCCCUCCUUCCAUCUAUGUAGGGCAUAAUGAGAUUUUUAAGACCGCCUUUGACUAUUGACAAGAUUAAUAGUACAUGACAUGCACAAUGUGAAAAUUAUAUCAUUGAAAGAAUCUUUGACAGACGAAUUUAACAGUGUGCUUUGUGUAAGCUGCAUGUCAUAUAUCGUUGCUCUAAUAUUUGGUCAAAGUUAGCAUAGAAAAACGCAUUAGGCCCUAUAUAGAUGGAAGGAGGAAGUAGCUUCGAAUAGCAUUUGUAUAGUAAAACGGGGCAAGACUCUCUCUUUGUGUGGUGUGAAUAGUAUUAUUUUUUUCGUUUUCUUUUUGGUUGAGGGAAGUGCGAAUUGAUUUGGUACAUACAAGUACAAUGUUACUACACGUUAGGCUUAUCCCUAAAAUUCAACCCGCGUCUUGUUAUAUCCCGAAAAUUCAGAUAUCGUGCUCCUAAAACUGGCGCCUUCACAACCCGCGCCUUGCUAUCCCGAAAUUACAACGCGCACGAAAUCUCCCUCCAGCUGCCAAAUCCCCACACGCGAAAUCCCCCGUCUAACCCUGUGCCGAAAGGGCCACUAGUUCAAAUCGGUGGGGGGGUACUUUCGUAACACACCCUACAUUUUGGACAAGCGCGUCCCUAAGUCAUGCUUCACCCCCUCCCAUCACCCCCUUUUCGCCAUUCAAAAUCCUAGGCCGCCAUAACCUCUCCGCUCCACCCGAGAAACCCCACCCUCCUCCAUCCGCCACGUCACCACUGCCCAACUGGAGCCUCUUCCUUGACGAUGUUGUCCACCGCAACAGCUCGACGUCCCUCGUCCACCUCCCCGGAUGAGGAUCCGCCGUCCAUCUCGCCGCCCCGCCGGUUCAGCCACCCCAUCCUCCACCUCCAAGGAGUUGCUCCGACGAUCGCCUCGUUUAUCGCGGCUGCUCCAUCCCCACAGCGCCGCCUUAACCUACUCCACCAGAACCGCAACAUCCUCACCGACUCCUCGGACGAAGCUGAGGCCUACUCGGCACCACCAAAGAGGUUGUACACACAUCGCAUGGCACCUUCUCCUUAACUCGACCUCCCGGCGCUGACGGUGCUCCAUCCCGCACCCUCAUGGAGCGGCUACCUUGAAACCGGCACCGCGGGCGACAUCUCCAUGGCGGCCCUCCCCCAGUGCAAGGCCCCUUCGGCGGCGGCGGCCAUACCAGCCGGAUCUGCUGCUACUGCUUUGGCUCUUGCUCGCUCUCUCGCGCUACUGCUGCUGCUCCGGCUCUCGCUCGAUUGCUCGCUCGCCCAACUGCUGCUGCUGCUCUCCCCCUCACUCAUGCUGCUGCUCUGCUCUAACUAAGCCACACUUCAGUCGACUGAAUCGACUUUUAGGUCAGUCGAUUUUUUGGGAUUGGGGGGGCUCGCCGGAGUUAAGGAAGAACCACCCGCAAUAGGGACGGGGGCUCGCAUGAGAGGUACCCCACUAUCUAUCUUAGGGUUCAGGGUGGGGGCAGGGGGCCUAGAGGGUUGGUCGGGCGACGGUGGCGAGCUGUUUCGGGGCGGCGAGGCGGCGCUGGGGCCGGCGGUUCGGCCAGUGGUGGCUGGCGGCUCAGGGGGGUGCAGGUUGAAGAUGAACUGCAGGCCCUCCCUAAACUACAUGUCAAGUACCUCUAUGCUACCAUUGCGUUCAGUUUUGACAGUAGCAUUCAGAUUCCACAGUAAUUUUAAGUUUCGACAGUUAAGUUCAGAGUCAACAGUUUUUACCUCAUCUGUUGUAGUCAGGUGGUUUUUGGUGAUGUUAAUUUUACAUCCAUUUUACAUCAUCUAUUGGAGAUGCUAUUAGAAUCCCACUUGAGAUUGACGAUGUCUGUCUUGUGCUGCUUCAGCUUUGACGUCUUACGGCUCACCGGAGCUGCUCCAACGACAGAACGAUCCAUCACAACAGAGCAGUGCCCUGGACACCGUCUAUAGAUUCCUCAGAUCUUCCUCCACACCUCCGACAGCCACCUUUGCCUCAACUGCUUCAGGGACCAACCCAAUGAUGCUGAGGUCGACACGGCUACGGCAAAGAGGUUGUACACUUGUUGCAUCACUUAUUACUAUGCAUUCACGUCGAUCCAUUAGGGCUAUUUUGGUUCAAUGGAAAAACGUCGAUCCACUGGUUGUUACCAUCAUUCUAAAUUUCUGCAUGCUCUCCUUACAUAAUCUCACCAUAUAUUUUUCGUAUGCAUGUCAGAUAUUGUACACAGUCAUGCUGAACAUGUAGAGAAAAAGAGAAGAUUUUUGCGCGGUAAUACAAUGUCAUGCAGACAUCGCUCCAUGGUGGGUUCAAUGGCAAACCCUCCCCACCCCUCUCUAGAUUGUAAUCUAGAGGAAGAUAUAUGUUCUGAGGCGGAUUCAGACGCCACUGACCACUCCAAUUUACCCCCCAAGGUGUUUGCUCUACCUUGGCAUGAUGAUGUUAGUCAUAUCAUGCAUAUGUUGCCUUGCAGUGCCUACUUUUGACAUCAUAUAUGUCAUCUGCUUAGUUUAGACAUGUUCUGUAAUGCCACCUGUUUAGUUUCUAUAUCAUAUAUGGGAAUUAUGCAGUCUCAUGUCUUUUAGCCAGCCAUAAUAUAUGUGAAAUGUGCAAUGCCAUCCUGUUUAACCAGGCAUCAUAUAUUUGAAUGAUAUCUUGCCCAUCCUUUUCUUCAUUACAUUUCCAUUUGUAGACAAUGUUUGUAUAUUAAAGUACUCUUCAUGUGAAUCAGCCAUUUGGGUGGGAGAUGGAAAAAUCUGGAGUGAAAACAAGGCCUUCAGAGCAGACAAUGCUACCAAUCGAAGCAGAUCUCUUGUUGGGUCCCGAUAGCUCCUCAGAGAUGGAUUCAGAGAUAGAUGAGCAGUCAUAUUCCCCCACUGAGGUGUAUGCUCUAACUUGGCAUGGGUAUAAUGCUCAUAUCAUGCAUACGGUGUCUUGCAUUGCAUAGUUUAGACAUCAUAUACACAAUAUUCAACACCAUGUUCUUAGUUCAGACAUCAUAUCGAAUGCCCUCUGUUUAGCAUAUAAAUCACAUAUGUGAAUUUAAUGAUGUGAUCCUGAUUACUUAGAUAACAUGUAGGUGAAUUAUGUCAUGCGAUCCUGUUUAGUUAUUCAUCAUAUCUUUGAAUUAUGUUAUGCUAUGCUAUCCAGUUUAGAUAGACAUCAUAUAUGUGAAAUUAUGUCAUGCUAUCCGUUUUAGUUAAACAAUAUACAUGUCAACUAUUUCAUGCCCUCUUUUUUCCACACUAUCUAUUGCAUCUGUCUCUCAUACAAUGUCUGUACAUUCAACUAUGUUUCCUGUUUAUCAGCCAUUUGAAUUGGAGCGGGUGAUGCCAGUAUCUAGCGGACUAAAAACACGGUCUUCAAAUAAAACAGUGCUACCUAUUGGUGGAGAUAGCACCCCGGUUGUACAUGCACAAGAACCAGCCCUACCAUACAUAACCCAAACUCUCGCAGAUUGUACCCCUACUGUGAUGGACAGAGAACCAGCUUCACCCAAUCAAACCCCAACCCCAGCCGAUAGUAACCCAGUUCCUGUUGACACAGCACCAUCUCCACCACAGAGCUCCCAAACAAGAGUAGUUAGUAAGGCAGCUCCAGUGCCCAAAGGGCCAGUACUAUCACAGUGAACCCCAACUCCACCAGUUAGUACGCCUAUUCCUGUGGAGGAAGCACAACCAGCUAGUCGUAGUUUAGCAUCUAUCGCAUUUGAUGUUGUUAACUCGUAUGUGCGUAUCUUCCCAUCUUGGAAAUAUUAUACUGAAGAUGAAGGAAAAUGCCAGUUGCAGGUGUUUGUCCAGGAGUUAUGUGUAAGUAAUGUUAUUCAUGGCAAUUACUUUGCUUGGUCUCAUACAUCCUACCUCCAUGAUGGUUAUAAUACAACAAAUUUUCCCAUUUUUCUCUAUAGAGAAGGACCGAUUUGGAAACUCAGGAUGAGGUAACCUGUGCUAAUACCUCUGCUAUCUUCAAGAAUGCUUGGUGGCAGUAUCGGAAUUACCUGAAGAAAACGUACUUCACCGGCAAAGAAACUCAUCAAAUUCCCUUACGUUCUCCUGAGACACAUUUACUGGACGAUGACUGGGAAUGCCUUGUUCUGUACUGGUCCCGAACCAAGAAUGUGGUAAGGUCUAUGAGCUCAUUUUCUAUUUUUAAGUAUUAUAUUCUUGCAUCUUACUGUACUCUGUUCAUGUAGAACAAGUGCCUAAACCUAAAGAACAACUGUUCUAAUUUAACAUUCCAUUGCUAUCAUAGUUCAAAAAAGCGCUAGGCGUUAAUUGUGCAUUUUGCCACCGCCUUGCGCUUUACUGACCAAAACGCAUGCUUAUGCACAGUUAUGCACAGAUUAUGUGUAGUUAUGUGCAAUGCGUUUUGCCAACGCCUAGAGCCUAGGCGUGCUUAAGCGCUCGCUUAGGCGCGCCUUUUUUAACUAUGAUUGCUUUGCUCUUGUAUCACUAUAUUUACUCAUACAAACUUAUUUUUAAAUUGAAGGAUCCAAUCAAAACUCCAAUGGCACAACAGGUAUCUUCACGCAUGUUUCUUUAACAGGUUUGCUAUUAUCAAUAGCUCUGUUGAUUUCAAUUUCAAUUGUGUAUACAGUUGACUUUCAUAUCAUGCACAUUACUAGCAUCACAACAGAGCCAAUAGUGUUGUUGUACAUGUAGACUCGUGGUACCCAUCUGAAGUCUUGUUGUGCCGUGUAGUUUCCCACGCUUUGUAUUCUUUCACUACUGCUUUGUCUUGAACUGAUAUGAUUUGAACCGUGUCUCUAUUUUGAUUUGGCAAGACAAUGCAGUGACCAUAGGACAUAGAUAUAUGUUUGUUUGAUGAUUUUAUUAUGUACUAGUACUUGGCAAUAGAAGACUUGGUAGUUUAAUCAUGUCCACCUUACUAAUGAACUGGUUCACCGAAAUGUGUUUCAUAUACUAGUACAUGCUAAACUUGUUAUGUGUCUGCUUGUUUCUUCUUUUAGAAUGCUGACAGAAUAUUGGGGAAGAGUGCCUUAUUAAGCAAUGGUAAAGGAAGUAAUGUAGAUAAGGUUCAGGAUAGUGACACAUCCUUGUUGGUCUCCAACAAAGCUGAUAAAACAGCUAAGGAAGACUAUCUUGAAGACAGCGAGACAACCCCAAAGUCCUGUCUUGGUUUAGUGUCCGAGUUACUGGCCACUACCGCUUGCACAAGCUAUUCAAACUCACUGUCUGAAUCAGUUCGGUUUCUUGAGUCUCAACUACAAGCUGAAAGACAUCGAUCAGCUAUGCUGCGACAAGAAGCGGAAGGACUGCGGAAGUCCCUGGAGCAUUCAGAUGGAUACUUUCUGGUUCAACAGCAAGCAUCGGAGGAUUUUAGCGCCAAACAGGACAAAGCUAAUCAGCUUGCUAAGCUUAUUGCCAGCAUGGUGGAUACCCAGGAUAACAUUUCUUGAGCUCUUCUGAAGUUGUUUCAGUUAUGCUCUUGUUUUGCUGCCGCGUUUAUUUGAACAGGUGGCCAAUUUUGGCUGCCAGUGUAUGUAAUGUUCUGCUUUGUUCCGUAUAUUUGCACUGGUGGUGAACUUUGAUGCCCGGUGGAUGUAAUAUGUGUAAUAGCGGCAAUAGGCUAGCGUUAAUUGCUUGCUUAUUUAUUUCCUUAUUGUCUUGUUUAGUUGUUUGCUUGUAGUCACUGCAGUUCUUUUUCUGUUUUUUUCUAGUGGCCACAAUAGCCUAUUUUUGGUAACUAGGCCAAAAUAAUCAUGGCAACACAUGGACUGUUGUAACCAUGGGCGUCCGGCAGGCCGUAUGAUCCAUGGGCCUUCGUCCAGCCGUAGGAUCCAUCGGCCUUCUAUACGGGCCUUAGGGUCCAUGGGCCUUCUACGGGCCAUAGGGUCCAUGGGCCUUCUACGGGCUGUACGAUCCAUGGGCCUUCUAUGGGCCGUACUAUCCAUGGGCCUCAUACGGGCCGUAGGAUCCAUGGGACUUCUACGGGGCGUAUCAUCGUUUCACCAACCAUGGGCCGUACUAUUCGUGGACCAUAACGGGCCGUUAAUAGGCCGUAUUUGAUAAUUCUAUGAAAACAUCCCAACGGGUUUUUUGACAUGAAAACGGCCCAACGUAUUAACGGUCCACAAACGGGCCGACUAUAACGACGGGUUGAAUUUGGCCCACAAGCAGAAAAUGACAGUAACGGGCCGUAUGUAACCGAAUGCUGCAAAUGAGCCCAAGAAUCAAUGGGCCCUGAGAAGGCCGAAAGAUAACUUGGGCUGGAAAUGGCCCAAUGGAAUAACGGGCCGUUAAUGGGUAUAAAGUGAUACACUGUUCACUACGGGCCAGUUUCACCACGGGCCCCUAAUGGGCCAAGAGUUACAAAGGUCCUCAUAUGGACCGAAAGAAUUCAUGGGCCACACAUGGGACGGAAGUUAAAACGGGAUGAAUCAUAUUGGACGGCCCAGAUGACGCUACUGGGCCUAAUUCGCAUAGGGCGUAACGGGCCCUGCGUUAGCGGGUUGUAAAUGGGCUAUAUGUGAACAAGCCAUUAACAGGCUUUCCGUGGGCCGGCCCGCCACCUUUUGACCUCUGUUGGGACGUGCCACAUGUCGCCGUAUCAUAGGCGCCUUCGGUCCAAUGAGCGGAUGACAUCUGUCCCAACGGUGAGCCGACACGUGUUUCCUCCAGCCAAUGAUGAUUUUACACGUGGAAAAUCCCCAUUGGUCGGGGCUGUUAACGGUUUAUCGGAUCCAAAACCCGACCCGAUAGCUUAACGGUGUUCCGUUACGGUGGAUGCCAUGUGUUGGUCACCCUUGACGAAAGCACUUCUGUGACACGCGAUUUAUCUUCAUGGAAGUGGACACUUCCGUGAUGAUAAUUUUGGCAAUGUCAUGGAACACUUCUACGACAACACAUGUAUGACUAUCUUGAUUCUGUCAUAAAUUUGUCAUGGAUGUACAUGCAUCACAGAAAACGCGACCCACUGUGACAAACAUGUAUCAUCAUGGAAGUGUAUUUUUUUGUAGUGCAUGGCAGGUGAGGGAGUCCUAGAUUAGGGGGUCUCCAGACAGCCGGACUAUAUCCUUUGGCCGGACUGUUGGACUAUGAAGAUAUGAGAUUGAAUACUUCGUCCUGUGUCCGGAUGGGACUCUACUUGGUGUGGAAGGCAAGCUAGGAAAUACGGAUAUGCAUAUCUCCUCCUUUGUAACCGACCUUGUGUAACCCUAGCCUCCUCUGGUGUCUAUAUAAACCGGAGGGUUUUAGUCCGUAGGACAACAUACAAUCAUACCAUAGGCUAGCUUCUAGGGUUUAGCCUCCCUGAUCUCAUGGUAGAUCAACUCUUGUACACUCAUAUUAUCAAGAAUAAUCAAGCAGGACGUAGGGUUUUACCUCCAUCAAGAGGGCCCGAACCUGGGUAAAACAUCGUGUCCCCUACCUCCUGUUACCAUCCGCCUUAGAUGCACAGUUAGGGACCCCCUACCCGAGAUCCGCCGGUUUUGACAACGACAUUGGUGCUUUCGUUGAGAGUUCCUCUGUGUCAUCACUGUUAGGCUUGAUGGCUCCUUCGAUCAUCGAUAGCGAUGCAGUCCAGGGUGAGACUUUUCUCCCUGGGCAGAUCUUUGUAUUUGGCGGCUUCGCACUGCGGGCCAACUCGCUUGGCCAUCUGGAGCAGAUCGAAAGUUACGCCCCUGGCCAUCAGGUCAGGGUUGGAAGCUUGAACUACACAGCCGACAUCCACGGAGACUUGAUCUUCGACGGAUUCGAGCCCUUGCCGAGUGCGCUGCACGGUCAUGAUGAGCAUGACUUAGCUCUACCAUCGGACAGUGUUCGGGAGAUCGCACCGGCGACCGCUCCGACCCUCAAAUCGGAGCCAAUUGCGCCAUCCAGUGAUGGGUGGAUAGACCCCGCCACAGAGGCCGCAUCUCAGCGGCGAGCGAGCCGAGUAUCGACCUUACCCUUCACAAGAGCCGUGACAACAAAUUGCCGGAUUCUUCCCCGGCCAUGGACUCCGAACCGCCUGCGCCCAUGCCUAUCAAAUCUGACUGGGCGCCGAUCAUGGAGUUCACCUCCGCGGAUAUCUUUCAGCACUCGCCCUUUGGCGACAUACUGAACUCAUUAAGGUCUCUCUCCCAGUCAGGAGAGCCCUGGCAGAACCAUGUCCGGCAGAAUUGGGGUGCGGAUGACGAAGAAAUUCGCCGCCCACCCACCACCCACUUAGUAGCCACUAUCGAUGAUUUGACCGACAUGCUCAACUUCGACUCCGAAGGCAUCGACGGUAUGGACGACGAUGCAGGAGACGAACAGGAACCACUGCCCACAGGGCACUGGACGCCCACUUCAUCAUAUGAUGUAUACAUGGUGGACACACAAAGAAAACUACGACGAAGAACGGAGAAGCAGUCAAAGCGGCGGCGUAAGCGCCGCUCCAAAUCCUGCCUCGGCAGAAGCAGCGAUCAUAUAAACCCAGCGAUAGAGCAAGGCGAGCCAGCGGACGACAAACACGGCAUUGAACCAUCGUCCGACCACGGCAACACGGAGAAUCAAUCUGAACAACCAGACUCCGUCGAAGAUAGCAGUCCGGAUAACAUCACACCGGACAGGCACCCGGAGCAACAGAACACCCAUAAAAGGCUUUUUGCCACUGCGAGGAGUCUGAAAAUGCAGAAGCAAAGGCUCAGGGCUGCACAAGACACACUCAAAAUCAGAUGGAGUGAAGUACUCAACACUGAAGCGAAGUACGGCGGUAAUCGCCAUAGCAAGAGCUACCCGAAGCGAAAGUUGCUACCUUAAUUCGAUGAGGAGGCCUUAGAUCCCCCGCAAUCAAAAAACAAAACGGCCAUCCGGUCGGAUAGACGACCUCGUGGCCAACAUAGAGCGGCAAACGACGCCGCACAUAAGCCAGUACGCGAUCCGCGUGAGGGCUCGCAUCAAAAGGACGGCGCAACCAGGUCCAUCUACGGGACACGCAAGCGCGCUCCGGCAUGCAAUGCAACACAACAAACAUCCCAACACCACGGUACACCCAAAUACAGGGGUGCCGCACACCCCCUAUGUUUCACCGAUGAGGUGCUGGACCACAAAUUUCUAGAGGAUUCAAACCCGUAAACACAGAGGUGUACGACGGAACGACAGACCCUGGGGUCUGGAUUGAGGACUACAUCCUCCAUAUCCAUAUGGAUCGAGGAGACGAUCUCCACGCCAUCAAGUACUUACCCCUCAAGCUCAAAGGGCCAGCUCGACACUGGCUUAAAAACCUCCCCGAAAACUCCAUUGGAAGCUGGGAAGAGCUCGAAGACCCUUUUCGGGCAAAUUUUCAAGGGACCUAUGUCCGACCACCGGAUGCAGACGAUUUGAGUCAUAUAACUCAACAGCCCGGAGAGUCAGCCCGAAAGCUUAGGAACAGGUUCCUCACUAAAAAGAACCAAAUAGUCGACUUCCCGGACGCCGAAGCCUUAGCAGCUUUUAAGCACAACGUUCGAGACGAAUGGCUUGCCAGACACCGCGGCCAAGAAAAGCCGAGAACAAUGGCAGCAUUAACAAGCCUCAUGACCCGCUUUUGCGCGGGCAAGGAUUGCUGGUUAGCCCGAUGCAGCACCAGUGACCCAAGUGCAUCCGAAGUCAGGGAUGAAAAUGUGAAACCACGACGCAGCAAAAACAAGCGCCGGAAUAAAGAAGACAACCCAAAGAGCACGGCGGUAAAUGCCGGAUUUAGAAGCUCUCGGCCAGGUCAACAAAAGCUGCCCUCCAAAGGCAAGAGAGACAAACUGUCCAACCUAAACAAGAUUCUGGAUAAAAUAUGUCAGAUCCACAACACCCCCGAUAAGCCUGCAAAUCAUACCCAUAGAGAAUGUUGGGUUUUCAAGCAGUCCAGCAAGCUCAACGCUGAACAUAAGGGGCAGGAUACACCAAGCAAAGACGAGGACGAGCCUCGCAAGCAAAGCACUGGGGAACAGAAGAAAUUCCAACUAGAAGUCAAAAUAGUAAACGUGUUACACGUAACAAAGGGGAGAAACAAAGCGGCACUCCUAGAGACACAAGCCCCAGGGCCUAUCACCGCGGAGUUCUGCCACUGGUCAUCCCAACCGAUCACCUUUGACCAUCGGGAUUACUCGGCAAGUAUCUGAUGUGUAGGAUGGGCUGCCUUGGUAUUAGACCCAAUAAUUGACGGAUACCACUUCACACGAGUCCGAAUGGACGGUGGCAGCAGUUUAAACCUGAUAUAUUAGGACACAGUCCGCAAAAUGGGGAUAGACCCAACAAAAAUUAGCCGUAGCAAUACAACCUUUAAAGGAGUAACGCCAGGCCCAGAGGCCCAUUGCACGGGCAGCCUGCUACUAGAGGUUAUAUUCGGCUUUCCCGAUAACUUCCGCAGCAAAAAUUUAACAUUCCACAUCGCUCCGUUCCAAAGUGGUUAUAAAGCACUACUCGGACGCGAAGAUUUCGCUCGCUUUAACGCAAUACCGCAUUACGCUUCUCUCAUGCUUAAGAUGCCUGGUCCACGUGGUAUCAUUAUAGUAAAUGGAAAUAUUGAGCACUCCUUGCGCGUGGAAGACCGUGCGGCUACCUUGGCAGCCGCACACUAAACGGCCUCACCAACUAAAGCACUUGGCAGGUCGUUAAGACCACAGACGCGGUUGGACGAGUCCGGCGCAGCUAUAUGUAAUUGAUACAGGUUUGAUGGCUAUACCCCUAUUACAAUACAAGGGGCUCAACACGCGCAAACAAGUGGCAAUUAGGUUCAAAUUUACUCAUUUUGAACUGUACAUGGUCUAUUUAGUAUAACCUACCUUUUGCACGACAACUUUUCAAUUAAGUUCCUUUCUUUUUCAGAUGACCAUCGUGCUACACCCGUCCUGAAUACGACACAAUGGAGACACAGGCGCAGACGUGCUGCAGGGACCCAUUCCAAGGAUUCUUUUUAGAUUAAGACCCCGCGUAAACCUUUUUUACUGUCUCUUGUUGAUACACAUCCCUCGGAUUCUCAGUGCAAUUGAGAAGGAUGCUGACGUAUUGGCAUGUGGCCACGUCAGAAUAUUGCAUGUACCUGGACACCAGGGGCUUAUUACAAAGGGCACUGUUUAGGCCCGGUUUACAUCAUAAAGACCGAAUACCUUAGGGAGUGUUCGGCGUCACGAGUUUGGCCUUAUAUGCAUGAGCUCCGAAUCAUGUCUUCGGUCAAAUGUUGGGUUUGCCUGGCUCCUGUGUUUUGCUGCCUUACGUUCCGCUCUAUCGGCUAAGGUGGCACCAGGAGAACUACUGCGAUUGUGCCCUGGUUCAUCCGGAUGAGCACCUCAGUAGAGAAAGCCGAAAACUGACUAUCAUGAUAUAGCGUGAGACUGGUCAACCACUCGAUGACCUAGCGGAAUCUUCGGGAUUCCUCCGCCUUAACGAAGGGCUGUUUCUCGGCCACGCAUGUACGCGCCGCGAAUCUGGAUGAGCGCAGAGCCACCAGGGGCUAUAUAAUAGCCCCACUGUCAAACUCCUCUGGCUAAGUGAAAGUGUUAACGCAUUAUAGUCUGAUUGCCUAGUUCGCUGCGCUAUCACCUCCUUAAUGGACCAACACGUUGGAUCAAGUGUGAACAUACGUCUUCUGCGAACACCCCCGCAUUAUAUGCGUGGGGACUGAAGCCGACGACUGCCAUCUUUCAAGUUAUAUACAUAUAUAGAUAAACGGCCGCACAGGAGGGAUCACAGUACUUUUGGGCAAAAGUAUAAAUACAGCCUUGAUAAAUUCAAUAAAACAUUGUUCUUACAAUGGGAAUACAUGUCACUUAAACAUAAUAUUCUUCGAGCACUGAGCGUCUGUCAAACGAGCGCCUUCAAGAACUUCUUCAAAGUAGUGCUCGGCGGCCACUCGGUCUAUGGCCGAACCCUGUGCCGCAACAGUGGUGGCAUCCAUCUCCGCCCAGUAUGUUUUGACACAGGCAAGGGCCAUCCGCGGGCCCUCUAUGCACGCCGACCUCUUUACAACAUCGAUGCAUGGCACAGCUUCAAGGAAUUGUUGCACUAAGCUAAAGUAGCUACUUGGCCUUGGCCCUCCCGGCCACAGGUGAUCCACAACGGACCUCAUGGCAAGUCUGGACAACCUAUGGAGCUCGGCCCAACCGGUCAAUCGCUCAUUCAGCAGCAGCGGACGGACUGGAGCGUGAAACUAUGACCAGAAUAGCUUUCCCACUUUGGGACCUUUCUGAUCCUUGAAGUACUCGGCUGCAUCAGCAGCACUUGCAGCCAAAUCCAUGUACGUGUCCGCAGAACUCCAUAGCCGGUCCAGAGGAGCAUACUUUGGAUCUUCGAACUUAGUCCGCAACAAGAAGGUCUUCCCAGACACGAUAUCUGUAGCUUGAUUCAGCUCCUCCUUAGUCGCUCUAAUUUUGGAGCGGGCUUCCUUGGCAGCCACCCGGGCCUUCUCCAGGUCCAUCGCCUUCGCCCGGUUUUCCUCUUCAAGAAGCCGGUUACGGUAAGCAACAUCUUUUAACUCCACGGCCAUCUUGGCAAUUUUUUCUUUGCUCUCGCAAUGUGCGGCCUGUUCGGCCCUUAACUCUUCGGCCGCCUGUAAAGCGGCCGCAUUGCUACUCCUUGCAUGCUCCUUGGCUCGGGCAAGCUCCGCCCGAAGGGUCUCCACGGUGGCCGCUCCAUCUGUAGUCACAACAUAUUAAAGAUACUGCCAUCAUACUGCUCUUAUUAUGUGAUGAUCACCAGAAAAAUCACUCACCCUGUGCCUCGUCAAGCCGCUUGCUCACAAGCACGAUGUCAGCAUCUGCCGCAUCCAGUUGCCGCUUUAGUUUGGCAAACCCAUCAGUCCGGCUAGCCACCGGAGCUUCAACCACCUGCACAUAAAGGCGGUCUGGUUAUAACCUGGGACUAUGAUCCUCUGUUUGCCGCCGUUCUCGAUGACAACCAGAGUCUCAGGGGCUAUUAUCUGAAUGGGCAUACCUAACGUAUGCGGUACUAUUAAAGGCAUACAUUAUUUUAUGUACCUCGAAGCCUUUCAGCAAACUCAUAAAAGCUUCGUGCAAACUGCUUCCGGCGGAUGAAAUCCUUUCAAUUACCGUACCCAUUAGCGUAUGAUGCGCUUCCGAGACGACAGUUUUCCCCAGAAGAUCCUUCAGCGCGUCCGACCGCACAUAGUACGGACCCUUGUCGUCGCUCUCCUCAGGAGGCGGAUACUGGGGAUGCCGGGCAGCCAAAGGGUUACCCUCUGGCGAUAUUGGAUCCGGAGAUACCCUUCGCGACGACACUUCAAGGUCGCCCGCUUCUUGAGCUGGGGAGUCCGGGGGAGGCGUUUCGCUCUCCAUCAUCUUCGGAAGAAGAUCCCCCGAAGAUGAACUCUGUCGAGAAGGGCUGUGAUCCGGACUACAAUUUACAAGCAUUGUUUAUUGUCUUCGGAAGUAAGGUAGGAUAUCUUCACUAUUAAGUACUUUUUGAUUACUUACAACUCAGUAGAGUGCUGAUCCCCGCGCGGACAUUGUGCAGCAAGAAUACCCUCCGAGGCAGGACCCUAUGGUGGAGAUUUCUUCUCCCGUUUGGAAACCUUAGUUCCCGGAUCUUCAGAGGUAGUCCUCUUCCUUCCCCGGGGAGAGAGAAUGUCAGAUUCUUCCCCUUGGUUAUCCUCUCUCGCGGAGGCGCUCAUUCCCUUGAUUGGAAUAGGUAGCGAUGGAGGCCCGCUUUCGCCCUCUUUAUUCCCCCUUCAUCUUCCUUUGAGGACACUAGACAAGGUGCUGGCUCGAGCAUCUUUUCCAGCACCGGAUUGUCCAAGCCUCAGGAAGGGGGUCAAACACCGGAUCAUCUUCACCUUUGUUAUCCAGUCCUGGUCAAAGAGCGAUUCUUCAGAAUGAUGUCAUGAUAAAUAAAAGGAUAGUGUGUUCGGCCAUGGGAUUACUUACUUGGGCAGCGGGGCGGUUGUAGCUCAGGCCCACGUCCUCGGUAGUGUCCGCACACUCUAUUUGGGGUCCGAAGAACGAUUUGUACAUCUCCUUGUGCGUCAUGCCGAGGAAAUUCUGAAUAGUGCGCGGUCCUUCCGGGUUGAAUUCCCACAUGCGGAGGGGCCGAAAUUUGCAAGGCUGGACUCAACGAACCAGCAUAACUUGCAUUACCAUAACUAGACUGAAAUCUCCCUCGAAGAGAUCUCGGAUACGGCUCUACAGUAUUGGUACGUCCUUGGCUAGACCCCAGCUCAGCCCCCUGCUGAUCCAUGACAUCAGUUGUGGUGGAGGGCCCGAGCGAAAGGUGGGGGCAGCUACCCACUUGGCACUUCGGGGAGCUGUGACGUAAAAUCACUCCCGUUGCCACAAUCCAUACACCUCUGGAAAGGAACCCUUUGGCCAUGGAGUGUCAGCAAUUUUGCUUAUUAGAGCACCUCCGCACGCUCCGUACUUCCCCUUGACCAUCUUCGGCUUCACAUCGAAGUUCUUGAGCCACAGGCCGAAGUGAGGGGUAAUGCGGAGGAAGGCCUCACAACCGACAAUAAAAUGAUGAGAUGUGAAGAAGGGAAUCCGGGGUCAGAUCGUGAAAAUCCAGCCCGUAAUAGAACAUAAGACCCCUAACAAAGGGAUCCAGAGCAAGGCCUAGCCCUCGGAGGAAGUGGGAGACAAACACAACGCUCUUGUUGGGAUCGGGAGUAGGGACGACCUGCCCUCGGGCGGGCAGCCUAUGCGAAGUUUCAACGGUCAGAUAUCUGGCCUCCCUCAACUUCUUGAUGUCCUCCUCCAUGACGGAGGAAGGCAUCCACCGGCCUUGAAGGCUGGAUCCGGACAUGAUUGAAGGUCUGAAGCACCUGACCUGGGCUUUGGGUGAUAGAACUCGAGGCGGGGGAAGGAUUCGAUUGAGCAAGGGAGGGAAAAAAGAAAAAUCCUUGUCCCUUUAUAAAGGGGAUGAAUAUCAGGCGUCCUCCACAUGGCCGUUCGAGACUUACCUAAGAUCUAGGAGUCAUACCGACAGGCACGGUUGGGUUACCCACGUUUGUAUUGAUGAGAAUCCCGUGAUAAGGGGAACACGAUCUCUUCUUUGACAAGACGUGUCAAGAAACCGCCUCGCAUUAUGUGCGGGGCUGGUUAAAGAAAAACGGUUCAAAUAAUUACCGGGCCGUGGCGUGAUGUCAUGCUGCCAAAACGUGUCAGCAGAUUAGAUUUAUUCUCUCUACGGUGGUACGUGGAACUUAUUUUGCAGGGUCGGACAGUAUCCUUGUAUUUAAACUCUUCCGUGGUGUAUUCGGAGGAGGAACCCGCCUUGCAAUGCCGAAGACAACACUGCGCGCCAGACUCAUUGUCAUUGAAGCCUGGUUCAGGGGCUACUGAGGGAGUCCUGGAUUAGGGGUUCUCUGGACAGCCGGACUAUAUCCUUUGGCCGGACUGUUGGACUAUGAAGAUACGAGAUUGAAGACUUCGUCCCGUGUCUGGAUGGGACACUACUUGGCGUGGAAGGCAAGUGAGGCAAUACGGAUAUGCAUAUCUCCUCCUUUGUAACUGACCUUGUGUAACCCUAGCCUCCUCCGGUGUCUAUAUAAACCGGAGGGUUUUAGUCCGUAGGACAACAUACAAUCAUACCAUAGGCUAGCUUCUAGGGUUUAGCCUCUCUGAUCUCGUGGUAGAUCAACUCUUGUACUACUCAUAUUAUCAAGAAUAAUCAAGCAGGACGUAGGGUUUUACCUCCAUCAAGAGGGCCCGAACCUGGGUAAAACAUCGUGUCCCCUGCCUCCUGUUACCAUCCACCUUAGACGCACAGUUCAGGACCCCCUACCCGAGAUCCGCCGGUUUUGACACCGACAGCAGGUACCUCACUCCCUGCUCCGACGACCGGCGAGGGAGUCCUGGAUUAGGGGGUCUCCGGACAGUCGGAUUAUAUCCCUUGGCCGGACUGUUGGACUAUGAAGACAUAAGAUUGAAAACUUCGUCCCGUGUCCGGAUGUGACUCUACUUGGCGUGGAAGGCAAGCUAGGCAAUACGGAUAUGUAUAUCUCCUCAUUUGUAACCGACCUUGUGUAACCCUAUCCCCCUCCGGUGUCUAUAUAAACCGGAGGGUUUUUGUUCGUAGGACAACAUACAAUCAUACCAUAGGCUAGCUUCUAGGGUUUAGCCUCUCCGAUCUCGUGGUAGAUCAACUCUUGUACUACUGAUAUUAUCAAGAAUAAUCAAGCAGGACAUAGGGUUUUACCUCCAUCGAGAGGGCCCGAACCUGGGUAAAACAUCGUGUCCCCUGCCUCCGGUUACCAUCCGCCUUAGACGCACAGUUUGGGACCCCCUACCCGAGAUCCACCAGUUUUGACACCGACAUUGGUGCUUUCAUUGAGAGUUCCUCUGUGUCGUCGCCAUUAGGCUUGAUGGCUCCUUCGAUCAUCGAUAGCGACGUACUCCAGGGUGAGACCUUUCUCCCCAGACAGAUCUUUGUGUUCGGCGGCUUCGCACUGCGGGCCAACUCGCUUGGCCAUCUGGAGCAGAUCGAGAGUUACACCCCUGGCCACCAGGUCAGGUUUGGAAGCUUAAACUACACGGCCAAUAUCCGUGGAGACUUGAACUUCGACGGAUUCGAGCCCCUGCCUUGUGCGCCGCACGGUCACGAUGAGUAUGAUUUAGCUCUACCAUCAGACAGUGUUCAUGAGAUCGCCCCGGCAACCGCUCCGACCCUCAAUUCGGAACCAGCUGCACCAUCCAUGGACGGGUGGAUAGACCCCACCAUGGAGGCCGCACUCUCAUCGGUGAUCGAGCCAAGUAUCGACCUUACCCUUCACGAGAGCCGUGACGCUAAACUACCGGAUUCCUCCCCGGCCAUGGACUCCCAACCGCCUGCGCCCGUGCCUAUCGAAUCCGAUUGGGCGCCGAUCAUGGAGUUUACCUCCGCGGAUAUCUUUCAGCACUCGCCCCUCGGCGACAUACUGAACUCAUUAAGGUCUCUCUCCUUGUCAGGAGAAUCCUGGCCGGACUAUGUCCGGCAGGAUUGGGAUGCAGAUGACGAAGAAAUUCGCCGCCCACCCACCACCCACUUAGUAGCCACUGUCAACGACUUAACCGACAUGCUCGACUUCGACUCCGAAGACAUCGAUGGUAUGGACGAUGAUGCGGGAGGCAAAGAGGAACCACUUCCCACCGGGCACUGGACAACCACCUCAUGAUAUGAUAUAUACAUGGUGGACACACCUAAAGAAGGCAAUGGCGACGAGACAGCGGAGGAUGACCCCUGCAAGAAGCAACCCAAGCGCCGGCGUCAGCGGCACUGCUCUAAGUCUCGCCAAAGCAAAAGCGGUGACCCCGACACAGGAGAUAAAAGCACUCCAGAUAGUGCCGAAGACGACAACAAUCCCCUCCAGCAAGAUUUAGGGCAAGAGGAUGGAGAAGCCAGCCCUCUAGAGAGAGCGGCAGAUGGAGAGGCAUUUCAGCCAAAAACUCAGCCCGCACCCCUACGCCACUCAAAUAAAAAUGACAAGGCACGGGGAAACAUGCUAGACCUGCGAGACGUAUUGGAGGACAAAGCAAAACAUGCAAGAUUGAUCUACGGAUCACGAGGGCGUGCCACUAUGCGAGACGAUAACCGUCAUGCCAGAUACAGUAAAAGUAAAUCCGGCGGGGCCGAACACAGCGGGCAAGACUCAUUGGAGCUGCGUCGCGAUAUAGCCUAGUACAGAGGCGCCACACACCCCCUAUGCUUCACAGACGAAGUAAUGGAUUACCAAAUCCCAGAGGGUUUCAAACACAUAAAUAUCGAAUCAUACGAUGGCACAAUAGAUCCUGCGGUAUGGAUCGAGGAUUUGCUCCUACACAUCCACAUGGCCCGCGGUGAUGAUCUACACGCCAUCAAAUACCUCCCACUCAAGCUCAAAGGACUAACUCGGCAUUCGCUCAACAGCUUGCCAGCAGAGUCCAUUGGCUAUUGGGAAGAUCUAGAAGCCGCAUUUGUCGACAACUUCUAGGGCACUUAUGUCCAACCGCCAGAUGCCGAUGACUUGAGCCACAUAAUUUAGCAUCCAGAGGAAUCAUCCAGGAAAUUCUGGACACGAUUCCUAACAAAGAAGAAUCAAAUCAUCGAUUGUCCGGGUGCAGAGGCCCUAGCAGCUUUUUAGCAUAACAUCCGCGAUGAGUGGCUCGCUCGGCACCUUGGCCAGGAAAAGCCUAAAUCUAUGGUAGCCCUCAUGACACUCAUGACCCUCUUUUGUGUGGGAGAAGACAGCUGGCUGGCUCGCAGUAAUAACAUAUCAAAGAACCAUGGUACUUCAGAUACCAAGGAUGGCAAUGGCAGGUCACGUCGCAACAAACACAAGCACCGCAUUAACAGCGACAAUACAGAGGAUAUGACAGCCAAUGCCGGAUUCAAAGGCUCUAAACCCGGUCAGCGGAAAAAGCCAUUUAAAAGAAGCACUCCAGGCCCGUCUAGUUUGGACCGUAUACUCGAUCGCUUGUGUCAAAUACACAUCACCCCCGACAAGCCAGCCAACCACACCAAUAGGGAUUGUUGGGUGUUCAAGCAGGCCAGCAAGUUAAAUACCAAAAACAAAGAUAAGGGGUCGCAUAGCGAUGACGAGGACGAGCCCCGGCAGCCAAAAACCGGAGGACAGAAGAGGUUCCCCCCACAAGUGCGGACGGUGAACAUGAUAUACGCAACCCACAUCCCCAAGAGGGAGUGGAAGCGCGCGCUAAGGGACAUAUAUGCGUUGGAGCCAGUCGCCCCAAAGUUCAACCCAUGGUCCACUUGCCGGAUCACCUUCGAUCGGAGGGACCACCCCACUAGUAUCCGUCAUGGCGGAUUCGCCGCACUGGUCCUAGACCAAAUCAUUGACGGAUUUCACCUACCUCGAGUCCUUAUGGAUGGCGGCAGCAGCCUGAACCUACUUUAUCAGGACAUAGUGCGCAAAAUGGGUAUUAGACCCCUCAAGGAUCAAACCCACAAAAACGACCUUCAAAGGCGUCAUACCAAGUGUAGAGGCCCAUUGCACAGGCUUAGUGACACUGGAAGUGGUCUUCGGAUCCCCGGAUAAGUUCCGAAGCGAGGAGUUAAUCUUUGAUAUAGUCCCGUUCCAUAGUGGCUAUCAUGCACUGCUCGGGCGAACCGCAUUCGCGAGAUUCAAUGCGGUACCGCAUUAUGCAUACCUCAAGCUCAAGAUGCCAGGACAUCGGGGGGUCAUCACAGUUAAUGGAAACACAUAGCGCUCUCUCCGCACGGAGGAGCACACUGCGGCCCUCGCAACAGAAGCGCAAAGCAACCUCUUAAGGCAAUCCACUAGUUCGGCGAUUAAGGACCCGGACACCUUCAAGCGCGCCCGGAGUAAUCAGCAACAAGACCGCCUGGCACAUUCCGAGCUUGCAUAGCACUGCGGCCCCCACCCCAGUACCAGCCAAACAGCGAAAUCCGUGCCACGCGUACAUAAUUAUGCAUUGAAAAUACCAUGGGCACAGGUGGGGAGGGGGGCGCGACUACGGCACGCCCCAAGACGCGGCUCAACCGCACUAGGGGCUUCCUGCUUUGUUAUUUUUCUCUCUUUCAGGACCUUAAUCUCUGGAAACCCUGUCCGGCAGUAUGAUUGCCGAACACAUGAUGCAGCAACCAAGGAGGCAGAAAGCUACAUCGCACCACGGAAUUCCCAGGUGGUCUCUGACAACGAGUGAAAUACUCGCUCUAAAUACCAUUCCUCAGCUUGCCCUUGGAGGGGACAUGUCAAAUAGUCCUACUUUUUGCUUACCGCACCACUUGUAUCAUUCUGCUUUAACACACCUUUUUGAAUAAACAAUGCAUAGCACUAGCCUAUUAUCGCAUUCUUUAUUCUUAUUUUUUUAUAUAUACAUAUGUUCAUUCAUGACAUCUAGCACCCGUACACUCUGGUACGGCCAAUACGCUAGGGGAUUAAGCAUACCCCAUAAUACGGUGUGAGAAGUCCGAACACUUUAGACAGUGCGGCACCCCGAACUUAUAACAUUAUAUGCAUCAGCUCUGAAUCAUGUCUUGGGUCAAUAGUUGGGUUUGCUCGGCUCCCAUGUUUUGGUACCUUACGUUCCGCUAUAUCGGCUAAGGUAGCACCAGGAGAACUACUGCGAUUGUGCCCCGGUUCAGCUGGGUUAAGCACCUCGGUAGAGAAAGCUAAAACUGGCUGUCAUGAUAAGGCAAGAGACUGGUCGCUGUUCAAGAGGUUUCGAGUCCCUAAAGACUUAUGCCGCUUAGAGCGAGGAGUCGGCUUUGUCUGGCUUAGGGCGUGUAUAGCGCCCCAAAUUCGGCCUUCUGAAUACUAGGGGCUUCGCCAAAAUUUAAAAAUAUAGAAUUCUAUGGCUAAGUGAGAGUGAUAAAGAAUUAUAGUCCGAUUGCCUUGUUCGUUACGCUGGGCACCUCCCUCGAAGGACCCAAAAAUGGGAACAAGAGUGCUCAGGUUUAUCCCGAACACCCCAGCACUCGUGGCAUGGGGGCAGAAGCCGACGACUAGCUGUCUCUCAGAUUUGAUAUACAGUUGAACAGAAGGUAAUAUUUUAAAUUCAAACAAGCAUUGCAUAGCGCAUAUGAACAAGUUUUCAUACCACAGGAUCACACGAGAAAGUUCAUUCAAAUAUUACAUCUUUCGCACACUCGUCCGCUACAAGACGGGCACCCUUCAGGACACCCUCAUAAUACAUCUCGGGGUGGCGAUGCUCCUUGCCCUACAGCGGCCCCUCCAUCACCAGCUUCUCGGCGUCCAUCUUGGCCCAGUGCACCUUCGCACAGGCAAAAGCCCGGCGUGCACCCUCUAUGCAGACGGACCGCUUGAUGACUUCCAGCCAUGGGCAUGCAUCCACAAGCCGCCUCACCAGGCCGAAGUAGCUAUUGGGAAGGGCGUUGCCAGGCCACAUCCGGACUAUAAAGCCCUUCAUGGCCUGUUCGGCCGCCUUGUGCAGCUCAACCAGUUGCUUCAGCUGGUCGCUCAUAGCCAUCAGGUGUUCGGUCCCAGUAUACUGAGACGAGAACAACUUCUCCGUCGAGCUUCCCUCCUCGGCCUGGUAAAACUUUGCCACAUCCGACACGCUGCGGGGCAAAUCUGCGAAUGCUCCUAGAGAGCUCCGGACUCGGGUAAGUAACAAGUAAUUUACUUUCACAUGCUUCCUUGGCAUAUUGAAUGCCUUACCCGCCGCCAUCUUCCUCAUCGCCUCAAUCUCGUGGAGGGCCAUUUGGGCUUCAGCCUUGGCAUUCUUUGUGCUCUCAAGGGCUGCGGCAAGCUCAGACUCUCGCGUCUUUGAGUCAAGCUCCAACACCUCGUGCUUCAUCAUGACAGCUUGGAGCUCUUGCUGCACCUCGCCCACCCGUGCCUCUUGCUUUUCCCGCUCGGUGCGCUCCUGGGCCGCUUUGUUUUUGGCCUCAGACAACGCUUGCUUCAGGGUCGCCACUUCGGUCGUGGGCCCUGGCAAAUUCAUGAUGAUCCUGCCAUUUUGCAAUCGCAUCUUUUUUGUAUAUAUAUAUACAAGGUAUUACUUACCUUUGUUCUCUUCGAGCUGCCUCUUGGCAAGGCCGAGCUCUAUCUCGGACCCCUCGAGGUCCUGCUUUAGUGCGGCGAACUCCGCAGUAAGUGCGGCAGAGGUCAACAACGAAGCCUGAAUACGCAUAUAGACAUACUUAUAUUAGACUCCUGAAAAUAUUAUUUGAUCCUCUAUUCGGCUUUUCUUUGUGAACACCAAACAGAGCAUCAGGGUCUACUGUCGAUGCGGUAAUAUUUUCCCUAUAUUUUAAAUACUUGCCUCAAAGCCUGUUAGAAGGCUGGCACAGGCUUCAGUCAGUCCGCUCUUGGCGGACUGAACCCUCAUGAUCACGCACUCAUAAUAGUGCGUUUCUCUUCGUUGAUGGAAGGGCCGCGAAGCACUCCCAGCAGGUUGUCUGGUGCCCGAGUCUGGAACCACUGGAGGUUCGGCGCGGUGUUCGGCUGAGAGCCAAACUUGGAGCCCCCGGGAGCCUUGUUCCCUUUGCUCCUGGAGUCCGGAAGGUCGCCUUGAGGCGCCUCCGGGACUGUCUCCCCCUGGCUCGGUGCCCCUUGAGGCAAUACCUCGGCAUUGUCCGUAGGGCAAGGGGAGGAGGCGGUCGGAAGUGGAUCGCUAUCCGUAUCCGACGAAUCCAAGGAGCCGUCUGACGAGGAUACGUCGAUAUGGGCUUGGGGCGGUCUGCAUAAUCAUAUUUGGCGUUAGGAGAAGCAGUGCGACAAAGGUAUGCUAUGAGUUACUCUGGUAUCCGAAUACUUACGACUUCACCAGGGGCUUGGCCCUGAGCAACCACUCAUCUUCGCCUUCGGCGGCGGUGGUUGAGCAGUCCGGAAGAAGAGUCCUUCCCUUCUUGGACCCUUCGACCUCCCCGGUCGGGGCGGCCUUCCUUUUCUUGUCUCCUCCGGCUGGAGGGGGAGCAUCUUCAUCUUCCUCCUCGUCUUCAUGGGAGGAGUGCGUCGUGGAGUUAUCGGACGAUGAGUCCGAUACCACCUGACGCCGGGAACUCUUUCGGGUUCCCUUGGCCUUCUUCUUGGUCUUCUCCAACACCUUAUAAGGAGCCGGAGUCAGCAUCUCCGUCAGGAGAGCGUCUGCGGUGUCUUGAGGCAGGGGGGCAGACAGUCAAUCUGCUCCGAUGCCUCUACCCAGUCUUGUUAAAGGCAUGGGAGCUCAGACCCCGCACAUGGUUAAGCUAUGGGAAAUAAAUAUCCUACCAGAUGUACAGAACUUACCGGAUUCGCAGGUCGCUUCAUGCUUAGCCCGCGGUCCUCGGUGAGAGAGGGAGGGACCUCGGCGCCCUUGAACAGCACCCUCCAGACGUCUUUGUGCGUCAUGUCAAAGAGCUCGCAUAGAGUCUGGUGUCGGGCUGGGUCGAACUCCCAUAAGUUGAAAUCCCGUUGUUGACAUGGGAGGAUUCGGCGGAAGAGCAUGACCUGGACUAUGUUGACAAGCUUAAGUUUCUUGCUUGUCAUGUUCUGGAUACACUUCUGGAGUCCGUCCAGCUCCACCGAUGAACCCCAGGAAAGGCCCUUCUACUUCCAGGAACUGAGCCACGUGGAAAUUCCGGAUCGAAACUCGGGGGCCGCCACCCAGUUGGUGUCGCGCGGCUCAGUGAUGUACAACCACCCCGAUUGCCACCCCUUUACGGUCUCCACGAAGGAGCUCUCGAGCCAUGCAACGUUGGGCAUUUUGCCCACCAUGGCUCCGCUGCAUUCCGCUUGUUGGAUGCCUACAACCUUUAGCUUGAUAUUGAAGGUCUUUAGCCAUAGGCCGAAGUGGGGCCGAAUGCGGAGGAAAGCCUCGCACACGACGAUGAACGCCGAGAUGUUGAGGAUGAAAUUCGGGGCUAGAUCAUGAAAGUUCAGCCCGUAGUAGAACUUGAGGCCGCGGAUGAAUGGAUGGAGGGGAAACCCUAAUCCACGGACGAAGUGGGGGAGGAAAACCACCCUUUCGUGAGGUUCCGGGGUAGGGAUGACCUGCCCCGCGGCUGGCAGCCGGUGCGCGAUGUCCGUGGCUAAGUAUUCGGCUCCACGCAACUUUUUGAUGUGCCCCUCCAUGACGAAGGAGGCCAUCCACUUGCCUCCCACUCCGGACAUGUUUGGAGAGAGUUGAGGAGGAGCAUGCGGACUUGGGCAUUGGAGCUCGAGUGUGCGAGAAUGGAUGAGCAAGGAGGAGGAAGGCGUGGGUAGGAAAAGGUGAGAUCUUAUCCCUUUAUAAGGGCGGACUAAACUAUGCGCCCCCACUAGCCUGGUAAAACUCGCUUAUCCCCCAAGCGCCGUAAUUGAUGGCGCGGUUGGGUUACCCACGUCCGUAUUGAUGAGAAUCCCGUAAUAAGGGGGACACGAUCUCUGCCUUGACAAGAAGUGUCAAGAAACCGUCUUGCGUUAUGUGCGGGGCUGGUUAAAGAAAAACGGUUCGAAUAAUUACCGGACCAUGGCAUGAAGUCAUGCUGCCAAAACGUGUCAGCAGAUUGGAUUUGUGGAAAUAUUAUUCUCUCUACAGUGGUAUGUGGAACUUAUUUUGCAAGGUCGGACAUUAUCCUUGUAUUCAAACUCUUCUGUGGUGUAUUCGGAGGAGGAACCCGCCUUGCAAUGCCGAAGACAACACUACGCGCCAGACUCAUCGUCAUUGAAGCCUGGUUCAGGGGCUACUGAGGGAGUCCUGGAUUAGGGGGUCUCUGAACAGCCGGACUAUAUCCUUUGGCCGCACUAUUGGACUAUGAAGAGAUAAGAUUGAAGACUUCGUACCGUGUCUGGAUGGAACUCUACUUGGCGUGUAAGGCAAGCUAGUCAAUACAGAUAUGUAUAUCUCCUCCUUUGUAACCAACCUUGUGUAACCCUAGCCCCCUCCGGUGUCUAUAUAAACCGGAGGGUUUUAGUCCGUAGGACAACAGACAAUCAUACCAUAGGCUAGCUUCUAGGGUUUAGCCUCACCGAUCUCGUGGUAGAUCAACUCUUGUACUACUCAUAUUAUCAAGAAUAAUCAAGCAGGACGUAGGGUUUUACCUCCACCAAGAGGGCCCAAACCUGGUUAAAACAACGUGUCCCCUGCCUCCUGUUACCAUCCGCCUUAGACGCACAGUUCGGGACCCCCUACCCGAGAUCCGCCGGUUUUGACACCGAGAACUGGCGCCGAUGGCGGGGCCAGGGGGCUCCUAGCCUUGGCCCCCGCCCGGCGACAGGUGCAGUGGCCGCCCAAGUUCAAGCCGGAGAUGCCGCCGCGCUACGACAGCGCGGCAGACCCAACGGCUUUCCUGAUGGCAUAUGAGGAGGCCGUCCUUAAGGCCGUGGGCGAUGACAAGGUCAUGGCCAACUGGCUACCCAUGGCCCUCACUGGCGCACCACGCGCCUGGCUGCUCAACCUCCUCGGAUCCACGGUGGCAUCCUGGGAGGAGUUGCACGGCCUUUUCGUUGCCCGCCACAUGGCACCGGUGCCCCACGCGGUUGCAGCCCUCCUCGGCGGCUCACAAGCACCACCCUCAGAUCGUCACGUCAAGCCGUUUUUUCGCCAGGUCAGCGCUGCUUCCAAGCGCCCCGGGGCUCCGCCAGGCUGGGCUACGCACGAGGCCGACCUCACCUUCGACUCAGGGGAUCAUCCCGCCUCCAUCAUCGGCUCGGGUGCGCUCCCAAUGCUUUGCACGCCCACCAUCGGCGAUGUGUCAAUCACCAAGACGCUCAUCGACGGCGGCGCCGGCCUCAACGUGCUCUCCGUCAAGGCCUUCAGCCUUCUUCACGUAACGCUCGAGCUGCUCCGUCCUAGCAAGCCUUUCACAGGGGUUGGCGGAGGCUACGCCCGCUCCCUGGGGUAUGUCCGCCUCCCCGUGACCUUCGGCAUGCGCGACAACUACCGCACCGAGCUCAUCAGCCUCCCGUACAACGCCAUCCUCGGGUACCUGGCUCUGGCCUAGUUCAUGGCAGCAACCCACCUGACUUACAACCUCAUGAAGAUGCUGGGGAGCGAGGGUUUCCUCACCAUCAAGGGGGACGCCAAGGAAGCCUCGAUGACGCUCAAGCUCGCCCUCAAGACCGCCGCAACAAAGCAGCCCUCCGACUCGGAUGCCUCCAAGGCCGAGGGAGCCGCACCAACUAAGAAGAAGCGGUUUUUCACUCAGGACAAGGCAGAAACCAAGCGAGUGCCAGUCGAGGAGGACGGGUCCUCAGGGGCAACCUUUACCAUAGGCGUCAACCUCGAGGCUGGUAAGGAGGAGGCGUUGGUGAAGUUCUUGCGCGUGAACAAGGAAGUGUUUGCUUGGGAGCCCGAUCAGCUGGUGGGGGUCCCAAGAGAGGUGAUAGAGCACCACCUAAAGGUGUGCCCCAACAUACGCCUCAUGAAGCAGAAGGCGAGGUGGCAGUCCACGAAGAAGCAAGCUUUCAUCGUCCAAGAAACCUGCAAGCUGGAGGCUGCGGGUGUCAUUCACGAGGUUCGGUACCCCGAGUGGCUGGCAAACCCCGUCGUCGUCCCCAAGAAAGACGGGAAGGAGCGGAUGUGCGUCGACUACACCAACCUCAAGAAGGCCUGUCCCCAAGAUCUGUUCCUGCUUCCACGCAUCGACCAGAUCGUCGACUCCACUGCCGAGUGCGACUUGCUAUGCUUCCUAGAUGCGUUCUCAGGGUAUCACCAGAUCAAGAUGGCAGUAGAAGAUGUGGAGAAGACGACCUUCCGUGUGGGGUAUACUGCUACACUUGCAUGCCUUCCGGACUGUGCAACGCAGGCGCAACCUUCCAGCGACUCAUGCACAUCGCCUUGGGUCGGCAGCUCAGGAGGAACGCUGAAGCCUACGUCGACGACAUCGUGGUGAAGUCUCGGGAGGCGAGGACCUUGAUCCAAGACCUGGAGGAGACCUUUGAAAGCCUCUGCCAGGUGGACUUGCGGCUCAACCCGGAGAAGUAUGUACUUGGCGUCGCUUUCGCCAAGCUACUGGGUUUCCUUGUGUCCCACAGGGCGAUCGAGGCCAACCCAGAGAAGGUCAAGGCCAUUGAAGACAUGAGUCCACCGCAAACCCUCAAGGAAAUAUAGAAGCUUGCUGGACGGGUGAAUGCGUUGUGAUGCUUUAUUUCCAUGCUGGGAGAGCGUGCCCUACCCUUCUUCAAGCUGAUGAAGAAGAAGGGCCCGCUCGAGUUGACCCUGGAGGCCGACCUAGCAUUUCAAGACCUCAAGAGAUACCUGACUAGCCCCCCAGUGAUGGUGGCACCGCGACCUCUCGAGCCCCUAGUGCUCUAUCUUGCCGCCACUCCCUACUCCGCCAGCGCGGCUUUAGUGGCGGCUCGGGAAGACCACUAAGCCAUGGGCGCAUCACGCCGAGCUACACCUCCAGCAGAGACGACGCAAGACCAGGAGGGCGCCACAAGGGCUGCCACAGCAACAGCAAAAGAGCAAGCUCGGCAGGAUGACGCUCCCGAACCCGCAAAGGCCUCGACAAGCGAUCGAGCGUUGGGGGCUCCGCCACCUCAGGAGGCACCACAACUCCCAGAAGACGCAAGCCUCAUCAAUGCGCCUACCCUCUUCGAGCACCCAGUAUACUUCGUCAGCACGGUGUCGCGGGACGCAAGAGCAUGGUACCGCAUGCCUCAAAAGCUCCUGCUCGCGCUCCUGGUGGCCUCACGAAAGAUGCGACACUACUUUCAAGGCCACCUCAUCAAAGUCAUCUUGGCCUACCCACUGGAGAGGGUGCACAGGAGCCCCAACUCUGCUGGAAGGGUUGCUAAGUGGAACAUCGAGUUGCAAGCAUUCCAGUUGGAGUUUAGCACUACCAGGGUCAUCAAGGGAUCCACACUCGCCGAUUUCGUGGCAGAAUGGACAGACGCUCCGGCGCUUGAAGUAGGUGAAGAUCUCCCUCUCACCGGGAAGUGAGGCGCCUGAUGGCUGGGUCAUGUAUUUCGAUGGUGCCUUCGCACACCAGGGCGCGGGGGCUGGAGUGGUGCUCAUCUCACCCACUCAGGACAAGCUCUACUAAGUUGUGCAGCUCUGCUUUCAGCAGGGCGAGAAGGUCUCCAACAACAUUGCAGAAUACGAGGGCCUCAUAGCUGGCCGAAAAACUGUGGCAACUCUGGGGGUGAAGCGCCUCACCAUUAGGGGUGACUCGCAGGUCCUCGUCAGCUUCUCCAACAAGGUGUACGAGCCGAAGGACGAGCACAUGGAAGCAUACCUCGCGGAGGUGCGCAAGAUGGAGAAGCAAUUCCUGGGCCUGGAGUUGCAGCACAUGCCCUGUGGCACCAACAAGGAAGCUGAUGACAUCGCCAGAAGAGCAUCCAAGCGACAGCCCCAAGAGCCUGGCGUCUUCGAGGAGCAACUCUUCAAGCCAUCAGCAACACCACCGCUUUCGAGAACAGCUCAGCCUCGGGAGGAACUCCCGCAGCCGCCUACCACAGGAGCCCCGGCCUGUGGCCCGACCUCGGGAGUGCGCCUACUCUUGGCACUUGAGCCCCAGGAAGGAUUCUGGACCAAGGAAUUCAAGGAAUACCUGACGCAAGGGACGUUGCCGGGGAAUGAGGAGGAGGCGGAGCGCGUGGUCCGGCAGGCCACAGCAUACUGCAUCCAGGACGGUGAGUUAUACAUGAAGCGGCCAAAUGAUGUUUCACUGCGUUGUAUCUCCACGGAAUAGGGGAAAAGAGCUGAUAGCCGACAUACACGGCGGGGACUGCGGGCAUCAUUCGUCAUCGCGAACCCUUGUCGACAAGGCAUUCUGCAGCAAAUUCUACUGGCCUAGGACACUCAAUGACGUAGCUGAGCUGGUGAAGUCCUACGAGGCUAGCCAAUUCCACGGCAAGCAGAUCCAUCAACCAGCUCAGGGCCUCCAGACCAUUCCACUCUUGUGGCUGUUCGCAGUGUGGGGGCUAGAUAUCCUUGGCCCGUUCCCUCAGGUUCCUAGGGGCAAUCGAUACAUCUGUGUCGCCAUCGACAAGUUCACUAAGUGGGCGGAGGUUGAAGCCGUCCGCACCAUCCCAGCUAGCUCUGCGGUUAAGUUCAUAAAGGGCCUCGUGAGCCGUUUUGGUGUCCCCAACCGCAUCAUCACCGAUAAUGGCUCACAUUUCACUAGUAAUCUCUUCAAGUUAUAUUGUGCUAACCUUGGAAUGCAGAUCUGCUAUGCUUCAGUAACGCACCCCAGGAGCAAUGGCUAGGCCGAACGUGCCAACGCGGAGGUCCUGAGAGGCCUCAAGACUAGGACCUUCAAGAAGAAGCUCGAGGCCUGCAGCAGGGGCUGGCACGAUGAGCUCCAGUCCGUGCUGUGGUCCAUCCGCACCACCGCCACCAAGCCGACGGGCGAGACCCCGUUCUUCCUCGUCUACGGAGCAGAAGCAGUCCUCCCUCACGAGGUCGGACAUCGCUCUGCACGGGUCCUGGCAUUUGAUGAAACACAGCAGGAUGCCAGGCGGGGGAUGGACCUCGUGCUGGGGGAGGAACGUCGCCGCAAAGCCGCACUACGGGCAGCAAGAUACCAGCAGGCGCUGCGGCGGUAUCACUAUUGUAGCGUCCGCUCCAGGACACUCGAGGUGGGUGACCUCGGCUUGAGGCGGGUCCUCUGCAGGGAAGGGCUGCAUAAGCUCUCACCCAUGUGGGAGGGCCCGUUCAAGGUCGUCCAUGUCUCCAGGCCUGGCACCGCGCACCUGGAGACAGGACGGAGUACCCAUCCAGAACGCCUGGAACAUUCAGCACCUCCAGAAGUUCUACCCCUGAAGAAAGGCCCAGCACCUGUGAAGAAGGCUCGGUGCCUGUGAAGAAAGUCCCAGCCCCUGUGAAGAAGGCCCGGCGCCUGUGAAGAUCGCUGCCCGCGACACUCUCACGUAAUAACGAGUGGGGUUGUACACGCCCCGUAGUCUCAGGAGCGCCGCACUUGGGCCUCGGGGGCUCCCUCCCACGUCUUAGUGGCAGCACUUAGCUCCGCGCUAGUGAGAAGACGUCAAAGACUAGACUAGGUGCCGGACGCGGCUUCUCAUUUGCUUUCCGAAGUUGGCUCGCCUCUCUUAAAUUGAAAUUUUCUUUCUGGUGUCUCUUGCUGGUCUCUGUUGGCGUUCUGGGAACAGGGGUCCCCAGACUUGCCUGCUUGCGACCCACAGCAUGGCUGGGUUAGCAGGUCUGUACGACCCAUCUUCAUCGACAAGGCAUUCAAGACCCUCGCGAGGGCCCAAGCCUCACGAGGUGGACGAUGCAAGACCUCCUCAGGAGCGGCCUUGCCAGGAAGGCUCACGAGGGGUGGAGAGAUCAAGGCAAGGCAAACCUCACGAGGUCCUUGUGACGUGAGCCAUGACGAUCGAGACCAGGCGGGCGCCAGACGGGCACCAGCACGCGCAGUGUCCUUGCUUCCUCUUUGGUGCCAAGGGGGCAAGCGCGGGUGCGGAGUACCGAGGCAUCAAGCAAAGGUUUCCAUUUUGGUGCAAUGAGACCAAGACCAGAAGGACGGCAAGACGGAGUUCACCAUGGAGGCCAGGACGGCGUCACCACCAGAACCUUUAGCAAGCGAAGACCACCUUUUGUCAGGAUAGCUUGUACUAGCUGUCCUCUUUCAAAUUGGCCAUUGAUGGCUCCCUUUCCGCUCAAUAUUUGGGGUGAGGACCAGGGCCUAUAUAAGUAGAACUAGCCACCACAGUAGAGGGGACUGAUUCAGAGGCAUCUCACCCACACAAGUUCGCCUAGCACAAGAACACCUCAACCUCAGGAGGUUGUUCUUCCCCUUGUACUAUUCAUCAUCAGCCCAAGAGGCAAUCCACCACCACCACACUGGAGUAGGGUAUUACACCACAACGGUGGCUCGAACUAGUAUAAAUCUUGUGUCUUUGUGUUGCAAGUUCGUCGAGUUAAUCCGCGAGAUCUUCCCAAGCUAGGGCGUGGAUCGAUAGGGAGAAAACAUUCGCGCGCACCCCAGUGUUCGAACCUUGAGGGUUUUGCCGGAACCCGUGAUCCGACAGUCUCGCCCUUUCACUUUCUUCCUCUGUUUCUGCCUUUGUUUCUUUGGUUGGCCUGUACUCUCUCGCGCGUUCCUCGCGAGGGGGCUGAACAGGUACCUUCGUGAGCUUCCUUCUUCUGCUUUUCGCCUCCUUCUUCUGUUUUUUGCGAGGUACCCUCGUUCGAGCCGCCAAGCUGGCGCACCUCUCCCUCAAUCCGUGCCCCUCGGGUACCGCGAUGCAAAGCUCUGGGUCAAAGCCAGCGGUGCCUGCGACCAAGCCUCGGGAGAACGAUAAAUGUCUUGAUGAAUUUUUUGCAGUUCCUACGUGCCUAUCAGGUCAAGGAGGCCUCUACGGGCACAAAGAAUCAAGAAAGCGACUCAUGAGGAGGAGGCAACUCCGAGCAGGUCAAGCUAAGUUAUCCCUACAUAAAACGACGAUGUUGCGACACAGCACAGGAGCAACAAACAUAGCAUAAUGAUUGAGAUCAUAGUUCGAUACACGCCUCUCCGGGGCCCAUUCUGGUUUCCUUUUGAUGCGGGUAGGAAAGGAAGAACAAAAUAAAAGCGAUGUCUGCCCCAACAAUGGUCCACGGGGGCAGGCUCCUGGCACCGCCCCGAGCUCAGACGAACCCCUCCUCACGCUUCACGGAGGCGCGGCGGCGAGACGACCCACUGCCGCCUUCAAAGCAGGUGCGGCGGCGCGGCGGCUGGUCGUAACCACCACUGCUGGAGCUGUCGCUGGAGGAAGAACCGCCGUAGCUAGACGAGACAUGGUCGGCCCCAAGGGCGGGUUUGCCCUCGUCCUCAUCACGACCAUCGCCAAGGUCGAGCACCUCCUCGCGGUCGUUGACCUCGGGGCAGCACCCGGCGCGGUGACCAUCUUCCCCAAACACCCUCACGUAGAGGGUCAUGUCACCAUCAUACCUGAAAUGGGGGGUGCACCGCCUGCCUAGGCCACGCGUGCGGGCAAACGUCUGCCAGCCAUGGGCCAGGGCUAUGUUGUCCGUGACGGAGACCUCGACCGCGACCCAGGAAGCCCUGCUGCAGCAGCCGUCCGCCUGCAGCCAGAACCCGCCUGGACCAGAGGCUGGCAUCUCGUCGAGAAGAAACACGGGGGCUGAAGCCAGUAGUCGACCGGGUUCUCCGACCAGAUGAUGAACUCCGGCAUCACCUCCGCCGAGUGGAAGCGCGACCGGAAAGGCCGCACGAACACAUCAUGUCUCCCUUCAUCAACAGGACCACCAUGGCUGGAGCGCCCACUGCCACGCGAAGCGGCACCGCCACGGCUGCGCGGGGCCGCUGCGGCGUCGCGGUGUACUUGCGGGGACGGUCGCGUCCACGCUUGGGCGCCGGAGAGCCGGGCCCCUCGCGAGGGGCCUUCCGUUUCUCCGCGGCGGAGAACCUCUUCGACGGUGCCAUUGGUGUUGCAACUAGCGAUGGAGCAAAGAGCAAGAAGCAAGCGGAAUGGUAAGAGAUGGGCGACAGGGGCUCUGCCCCCCUCCCCAUUUAUAGCAGAAGAAGGCCAACCAGUGCCCCCACGAUCACAGGUAAUGAUGGUUUUUCCCUGCAUGCAGCAGAGACUCGUGAAAUCGGGUAGUUGCCGAGGCGACAUGGGGAAGCAGAGACACCCAUGUCCAAUCAAAUGCCACGCGUCCACCAAGGCCGCGGGCUAUUGGGGCCCGCGGCGCUCUGCACUUGCCCCUUAGGCUUCGCCUCGAAGCCAAGCCGGAGCAUGCCUUGGGCCCGGGGGGCUACUGUCGGUGUUCUGGGAACGGGGAUCCCCAGACUUGCCUGCCUGCGGCCCACGGCGUGGCUCUGCGAGUGGGCCCGUACGACCCAUCUUCACCAGCAAAGACUCAAGACCCUCGCGAGGUGGACAACACAAGACCUCCUCAGGAGCGACCUCACCAGGCUGGCUCACGAGGGGCGGAGAGAUCAAGGCCAGGCAGACCUCGUGAGGUUCCGAUGACGUGAGCCAUGACGACCAAGGCCUGGCGGACGCCAGGCGGGCGCCAGCACGCACAGUGUCCUUGUUUCCUCUUUGGUGCUAAGGAAGCACGCGCACGCGCAGGCGUGGAGUACCGAGGCGUCAAACAAAGGUUUCCACGAGACCAAGACCAGCAGGACGGCAAGACGGAGGUCACCCUGGAGCCCAAGACGGUGUCACCGCCAAAGCCUUUGGCAGGCGAAGACUGCUUUUGUCAGGAUAAGUUGUACUAGUUGUCCCCUUUCAAAUUGGCCGUUGUUGGCUCCCUUCCCGCUCAAUAUUUGGGGAGAGGACCAGGGCCUCUACAAAUAGGACUAGCCACCACCGUAGCUAGGGGGAUCGAUCGGUCAGAUCGAGAGAGAGCAGAACAACCACAACUUCACCGAGCACAAGAACACCUCCCCUCAGGAGGCUGUUCUUCCCCUUGUACUGUUCAUCCUCAGCCCAAGAGGCAAUCCACCACCACACACUGGAGUAGGGUAUUACACCACAGCGGUGGCCCGAACCAGUAUAAAUCUUGUGUCCCUUGUGUUACGAGUUCGUCGAGUUAGCCCGUAAGAUCUUAUCAAAGUUAGGACGUGGAUCAGUAGGGGGAGAUCUUCACGUGCACCCUAGUGUUCAAACCUUGAGGUUUUGCCGGAACCCGUGAUCCGACAAGCGCCUUUUUCUGCAGUUCACGUGAAAUGAAGCAAAAUUGCAUCAUUUAGCUAGCAAGAAGUACUUGCUCUCGUGAGCUGGCCGGUUGUUCUUUAGUAGUUGCACUAAAAUUGAGGAACAUUAAGGCUGGCUGUCCAGCUCUUGUAAGGUGCAACUAUAAUUUUCUUACCCUUUUGUGCAGUUCCACUAAAAUAAAGUGCCAUUGUGGUGACAGUGACGUCUCAUCUUGCAAAGGCUAAUAAAAUGUUGCACGAGAUUAUUAGCAAAAUUUGACGGAGAUUUUGGAAACUCCAAUCACCAUUUUGUGUAGUUCCACCAAAAUUGAGAUAUGUUGCGCACGUGACAUUUUAGUUGAAC
rnacentral:lncRNA from 1 species